UUUUGAGCUACACAGAACUCUUCUUCAGGGAGUUUGCAAAGGUGCAGAAGGAAAAGAAUGUCUAAGUGAGCUUCUCAGAGAUCUUUCUGUCCCACAAGUGAAGGAAGAUGGAAGAUUCUGGAAGUGAACUGCUGGCUAGGUUGUGUUUUGGUUUCACAGGACAUUAUGGUUACAGUUGGAGACUUCCAUAGGUAUCCUAAGGACUAUGAGGACUUUUGCAGUUUGUUGGCACAG